UAACAAGGAUUACUUUGCAAACACCUGAUUCCACCCAAACAUGAAAGCUAAGCAGGGUUAGCACUGGUUAGUACUUGGAUGGGAGGCCACCAAUGAAUCCCAGGUGAUGUUUC
rnacentral:rRNA from 1 species